GAUGAACGCUGGCAGUGUGCCUAAUACAUGCAAGUCGAGCGAACAGACGAGGAGCUUACUCCUCUGACGUUAGCGGCGGACGGGUGAGUAACACGUGGAUAACCUACCUAUAAGACUGGGAUAACUUCGGGAAACCGGAGCUAAUACCGGAUAACAUGUUGAACCGCAUGGUUCAACAGUGAAAGACGGUCUUGCUGUCACUUAUAGAUGGAUCCGCGUCGCAUUAGCUAGUUGGUAAGGUAACGGCUUACCAAGGCAACGAUGCGUAGCCGACCUGAGAGGGUGAUCGGCCACACUGGAACUGAGACACGGUCCAGACUCCUACGGGAGGCAGCAGUAGGGAAUCUUCCGCAAUGGGCGAAAGCCUGACGGAGCAACGCCGCGUGAGUGAAGAAGGUCUUCGGAUCGUAAAACUCUGUUAUUAGGGAAGAACAAAUGUGUAAGUAACUAUGCACGUCUUGACGGUACCUAAUCAGAAAGCCACGGCUAACUACGUG
rnacentral:rRNA from 1 species